AUACUUACCUGGACGGGGUCGACGGGUGAUCAGGAAGAUCCGUGGCCUAGGCUAGUGGCCCACAUUGCACAUGGUGGGUGUGCUGCAAUACAAACUGAGCACUUUCUACAUCAAUUGUUUUAUCUUUGCAACCUCGUGCCGAGUUACAACG
rnacentral:snRNA from 2 species